rnacentral:lncRNA from 1 species
GAAUACUAGUCCAAGAGCAAUAUGAGUUGUAGUCUUAAGAAAGAAAAAAGGAGGGAGUCUGUUUUUGUAAAUUUUAGCUGAUUUCCAAAAUUCUGUUGCAGUAAUGGACUUCCUGCCAAAAUUUGACUUUCCUGUCCAGUUGCCAGGUGCUCUGAUCUAACCUUAAAAUAGUACUGCUUGCAUAGUUUGCAGACAUGCAUAAUGCACAAACAUGAGAAC